UGGACCAAUGAUGAAGACUAAUGGAGUAUGAGUCACGUAUGCGAUGAGUACUCAUGUGUCUGAAACUCUGAGGUCCAG
ensembl:snoRNA